AGAAAAUCGCUAAUUUUUCUCUCAUUCUGAAUUGAACACAUAGUUAAUCUGAUUGAUUCGAUUUGUAAAAGUGUUGAACAUUCUUGAAAUCUUUAUCGGAUUUCAAUAAGUUCAUGAAACUUAUUGAAAGGCCGAUUUCAUCUUGAAAAUUAAUCGAAAGCUCAUGUUUUUCUAGAAUCCAUCUGCUAUUGCGAAAUUCAAAGCACCAAAAGAACUAAUUUUCAAAUAAAAUGCCUCACACUCGUGCAGCCUUCAAUUGUACAGCGAGAUUAGAAAAAAGCCAAAAGUUGAAAUUUCAUUCUUCACAGUUUUCCAAAGGAUGACAAAUUAAGGGAACAGUGGAUGAAAGCUGAAGAAGAAUUGAUUUCAACCCUUUUUCCUUGUUGAAAAUAUGCAGCAACCGUUUUCAUCAACAUGAUUUAUUAAUAUUCAUGGUACAAAAACUCUGAAAAAAGAUGUUAUUCCUUCAAUUUUCAGUUUCUCCAAUUAUAUGCCUGAGAGAUUAAAUUAUGGAGAUAAAUGUCUUGAAGAUAAUAUAGAAGGUACAUUAAUAUUUUAUUUUUUAAGGAUGUGAAAUAUCUAUUUAUUUUCCGUCCCUAAUUUUAUUCAUUCAUAUAAAUAAUUAUUGCAAAAGAAAUUGAACAGGACCAGCCAGAGACAAAACAGCAAGAGAUGGGGCAACCAGAGACGGUAAAACUGUUUAUAAUAUCAAAAUCCUCUGCUGCUGCCAUGGAAGAUUUUUCCUCCAGAUUGAAUACUAAUAUUAGAAAUUAGAAACCUGGGAAUGAGGAUUUCCAAGAAUGGAACACUAGACGAAGUAAUAUCUGAGAGAAACAUCCAAAGAAAACCAAUAAUCUCAAUGUUAAAUAGGAUAUUAUCGAUUAAAAACAUAAAUGUGAAUAAUAAGAAAAUAAUUCACUCAAUAGUUAGGACAUAAUAACAUACAGCUCUGAAGUGUACAGCAGCUGGAAAAUCUGAAAGAGACAUGAUACCAAAUGAUACAAUAAGACAUAGAAUGGAAAUAAGACAUGAUAUUAUUGAUCUUAAGAACACAACAGUUGGUUUGGUACAGACAAGUCCAUAAAUACUUGUGAUACUAGGUGUGAUUUAAACAAGAAUAAUUUUUUUAGAUUGCCAUACUAAAUGAGGAACAUAUUCUGUGCCGUGGCUUAAAAAUUCAUCUUUAGAGAAGCUCAUUCACUGAAAGGCUGAAAAUGGGAAAAAUGAAUGUAUCAUAACUGAUCCUUGGAGAGAUAAGGAGAAGAAGAUCCAUAAAUUUCAAGAUUUGGAGGAGUUUAGAACUAAGAAGAGGUAGAGCUCAAUCCUGAAAUUUUCCAAUAUCCUGGAUAUUAAAUGAUUGGAAGAGUGAAUAUCCUCCUUAGUGGAGAGUGAAAAAUCCGACUCGAAGAUGUUCUUCCACAUGCGCUGAUAGGCUAAGUCGGACCAUUUUUUUAAAUCAUUUAUUGUAAUAAUGUAUACUUAAUGAAUACAAUUCUUCAUAGACUUUUUUUUUUUUCAUUGCCUGUAUUAUUUGGAAACAAUUUUCUGAAAGAUUUUACUAUUAUCAAAUUGAUAAGUGACUUGAACUAAACUAGUUGGAAGUAAUACAAAAUUGAAGAAUGAAAUGUAAUACACAUAACUGAUUCUAUUCAAACGAUAAAAUUGUUUGUAAAAAUGAUUUUUCAUUCUACCAUCAAUAAUAUUUGUACUUAGAAUUUUGGUUGUCGAAAGCCAAAGUAAUAAAAUAGAACAACACAAAUAGGUGAUUACUAAGCAGUAUACUUUCAUUUUGAAUCUUUAAAUGGUUAUAUUUAAGAAUUAGUCUAUAUUGAAUUGAUUAUUCCAACCAAACAUUUGAAAGAAUGAUCAUCUUCACUCAAUAAUAACAUAAUAUAACGAUUUUCACUUGAUAAAAAUAUAUGAAAAUUAUUCUCAUUUUGAGUUGCGAUAUAAUAAAAAUAUAUUUUUUCUACUAUCUUAAUAGAAAACUUCAUUCUCGCCCCUAAAGAAGGAAGGAAAAAUGUUUUCCUCCCGGCAGGAGUAGAAGUACCAUUUUCCUCCCUGACUGAUAAAAAUGACGACCUUAAAAGUAGUAGAAAAGACUAUAUACAUACCUAAGGAAAAAAUGCUUUCCUUUCUUGGUGUAUAAAUAAUAAAAAUAUUAUUUAUUAUAGCUUUUUCCAUAAAUUCUCAAACAAAAAUUAAACUUUUGAUAGUCGAAAAUAGAUUAAUAUAAGAAAGAUUUCAAGCAAUUCUAACCCUCGUUUACAUUGCUAGAAUUCCAAUAUAUCAAAAUAACAAUGAGUUUCAUUCAGAAUAAAAGAAAAAUUCAAGAUUUUCCAAACGUAAGUCCAAUGUUUUGGUCAUAUGAUUUUGACAUUGACUCAUCUAGCUGCAUCUCUCUCUUUCAUAUUCAGCCUGACGCGAACUCUUCGUGAAAGUCUCGUUAGGGCCUGUCCAUGUUAUAUUAGGUCUAUGGAACCUGGAACCACAGAACUGACAGUCAAAAAAAGGAGCAACCCGUCCAGCAGAGAAAAUCAACGUUACCAAACUGAUACCUAUCAGUAGCGGAGCUACUUACGCUACCGAUCUUUCUGCUGAAAGCGCCCAAUGAAUUCUUAGGUUUAGUUCAUGGUUCUUAGUCCUUAGUUUUUAGGUACGGUGCAUAAAUCCACCAUAACUUGAUCUAAUGAAUUUUAUUACUCAAUUUUCGUGUAUGUAUAAAAUAAAUGGUUCAAAUUCAAGAAGUUUUUAUUGGGACAUUAGAUAACUUCAUUUCGCACAGAUACGAACUAUAAUAUUUACGCAUCAGUUGUUGAUGGUAUCCUAAUUACAACCACCACAAGGGGCACCACAAGGGACAUUCGAAAAGUACAUUGGCUGUACGACAGGCGCAUAUACACAUGGUUGAGGACAAAAGUGGUUCAGCGGGGCUGGAGGUACAGGAUAUAUCGAAAUAGGAAGUGUAGGAGAACAGCAAGGAUCACAACAUGAACUGCAACAGGAAUCACACAUUUUUAUCGUGUUUUUAUAUUCACUUGAAAUUUUGAUUACUUCUCCAAAUUAUUCAGUUCGUUUAUAUUGCUAGGUGACCUUUUUAAAAUUUUGUUUUCAGCGAUUCCUUGAUUUAUGAUAUGCAUAAAAUUCGUUGUUUCAAUUGAACUAAUAAUCGAUUCCCAAUAGGAAUUGAUAAUCGAUAGGCAUCUGAGAUUAAGAAUGCAGCGACAAGGUAAAGGCGGUAGAUAUCAUCAUUUGUUUCAGUUCAGUCUAG